ACAGCAGCAGCCACGGUAAUACGUAGGGUGCAAGCGUUAAUCGGAAUUACUGGGCGUAAAGCGCACGUAGGCGGAUAUUUAAGUCAGGGGUGAAAUCCCAGAGCUCAACUCUGGAACUGCCUUUGAUACUGGGUAUCUUGAGUAUGGAAGAGGUGAGUGGAAUUCCGAGUGUAGAGGUGAAAUUCGUAGAUAUUCGGAGGAACACCAGUGGCGAAGGCGGCUCACUGGUCCAUUACUGACGCUGAGGUGCGAAAGCGUGGGGAGCAAACAGGAUUAGAUACCCCUGUAGUCCCUGUCUCUUAUAC
rnacentral:rRNA from 1 species